UACGUAGGGGGCAAGCGUUGUCCGGAAUUAUUGGGCGUAAAGAGCGCGUAGGCGGUCCAGUAAGUCGGUUGUGAAAGUCGGGGGCUCAACCCUCGGAUGCCGAUCGAUACUGCUGGGCUAGAGUCCGGAAGAGGCGAGUGGAAUUCCUGGUGUAGCGGUGAAAUGCACAGAUAUCAGGAGGAACACCAAUGGCGAAGGCAGCUCGCUGGGACGGUACUGACGCUGAGGCGCGAAAGCGUGGGUAGCAAACAGG
rnacentral:rRNA from 1 species